GCGGGGCUCGCUCUCUGGGAGGGCACCGGUAUGACAAGCCGGAUCAGGUGGGUUCGAUUCCCACGCCCCGUA
rnacentral:tRNA from 2 species